AAAAUAAGAAAUGAUGAUCGGUAUUGGCCAUAUUUUAAGGAUUGUAUUGGGGUAAUUGAUGGAACUCAUAUACCUGUUGUGGUUCCUAGAGAUAGACAAAUACCAUAUAUUGGUAGAAAAGGCAUGACUACCCAAAAUGUUAUGGCAGUAUGUGAUUUCAAUAUGUGUUUCACAUUUGCAUGGGUCGGAUCAAAAGGUGCUGCUCAUGAUGCACGGGUCUUUUUAGAGGCAUUAAGAAGGCCAGAAUUGGGUUUUCCUCAUCCACCUAGAGGUAAAUAUUUGGUUGAUGCCGGUUAUCCUCAAAUGAGUGGAUAUUUAGGCCCUUAUAAAGGCGAGCGUUACCAUCUUCCAGAUUUUCGACGAGGUAGUUCACCUAGAGGUAAAAAGGAAAUAUUUAAUCAUAGGCAUUCUUCCUUGAGGUGCACAAUUGAGAGAACAUUUGUCGUUUUGAAGAAUAGAUGGAGAAUGCUAUGACAAAUGCAUAGUUUUCCUCUUGAAAAACAAGUAAAGAUUGUUAUUGCUUCAAUGGCUCUUCACAAUUUCAUAAGGAUUAAUGCUAGAAUGGAUAUGGAAUUUAAACCUUAUGAUGAUGAUCAAGGGUUGUUUCCACUUAAUGAAGAAGAGAGUAGAGUGGAUUCACUUGUUGAGGAAGAUGGUUCACAUCAUGUAAGAGAGAUGGAAGAAGAAUGUGAUCGAAUUGCAAAUCUUCUUAUAUCUCAUUGAUGUUUAAUUAUGACUCUAAUAUGUAAUAAUAUAAUUUUUCCCCC